rnacentral:rRNA from 1 species
UACGAAGGGGGCUAGCGUUGCUCGGAAUCACUGGGCGUAAAGGGUGCGUAGGCGGGUCUUUAAGUCAGGGGUGAAAUCCUGGAGCUCAACUCCAGAACUGCCUUUGAUACUGAAGAUCUUGAGUUCGGGAGAGGUGAGUGGAACUGCGAGUGUAGAGGUGAAAUUCGUAGAUAUUCGCAAGAACACCAGUGGCGAAGGCGGCUCACUGGCCAGAUACUGACGCUGAGGCACGAAAGCGUGGGGAGCAAACAGG